rnacentral:rRNA from 1 species
AUUGAACGCUGGCGGCAGGCCUAACACAUGCAAGUCGAGCGGAUGAAGGGAGCUUGCUCCUGGAUUCAGCGGCGGACGGGUGAGUAAUGCCUAGGAAUCUGCCUGGUAGUGGGGGAUAACGUCCGGAAACGGGCGCUAAUACCGCAUACGUCCUGAGGGAGAAAGUGGGGGAUCUUCGGACCUCACGCUAUCAGAUGAGCCUAGGUCGGAUUAGCUAGUUGGUGGGGUAAAGGCCUACCAAGGCGACGAUCCGUAACUGGUCUGAGGGGAUGAUCAGUCACACUGGAACUGAGACACGGUCCAGACUCCUACGGGAGGCAGCAGUGGGGAAUAUUGGACAAUGGGCGAAAGCCUGAUCCAGCCAUGCCGCGUGGGUGAAGAAGGUCUUCGGAUUGUAAAGCACUUUUAUUUGGAAAGAAAAGCAGUAAGUUAAUACCUUGCUGUUUUGACGUUACCAACAGAAUAAGCACCGGCUAACUUCGUG